rnacentral:rRNA from 1 species
GAUGAACGCUGGCGGCGUGCCUAAUACAUGCAAGUCGAGCGAACAGAUAAGGAGCUUGCUCCUUUGACGUUAGCGGCGGACGGGUGGGUAACACGUGGGUAACCUACCUAUAAGACUGGAAUAACUCCGGGAAACCGGGGCUAAUGCCGGAUAACAUGUUGAACCGCAUGGUUCUACAGUGAAAGACGGUCUUGCUGUCACUUAUAGAUGGACCCGCGCCGUAUUAGCUAGUUGGUGGGGUAACGGCCUACCAAGGCGACGAUACGUAGCCGACCUGAGAGGGUGAUCGGCCACACUGGAACUGAGACACGGUCCAGACUCCUACGGGAGGCAGCAGUAGGGAAUCUUCCGCAAUGGGCGAAAGCCUGACGGAGCAACGCCGCGUGAGUGAUGAAGGUCUUCGGAUCGUAAAGCUCUGUUGUUAGGGAAGAACAAAAUGUGUAAGUAACUGUGCAUAUCUUGACGGUACCUAACCAGAAAGCCACGGCUAACUACGUGCCAGCAGCCGCGGUAAU